CUAAAGUCUAAACGCUGAGCCACUGGAUGCCACGAAUGCUCCUUUUAUCAAUGUCUCAGUCACUUCUCCUCUACAUGGACCUAAGACUCGUUUUCAUUUCGAGGUAUUUGCGUAGAACUACUAUUCAAGUCUCAAGUAAACGAAGUGUCCUCCUGUGGCUCAGCGAUACGUGACUGAUUAAGGUGCUGUCAAAACAUGAGAAGGUCGAGUUAAUCCACUGAUUAAGGUGCUGUCAAAACAUAGGAAGGUCGAGUUAAUCCACUGAUUAAGGUGCUGUCAAAACAUAGGAAGGUCGAGUUAAUCCUGCUGUGUGGUAGAGAAAAUUGGUCCCAGCAGAAGGUUGCUAUCGACUUUAAUUGGUCCCAGCAGAAGGUUGCUGUCGACUUUAAUGAACGUGUGUACAAAGUAAAGAUCAGAGACACCGAACAUCAGAAACAACGAAUUUAUGACGAAUGUCGGACCAUUGACAAAUGACAAGAAUGUGCUCAGCAGUGUUCAAAGAGAAUGGAAAUACCAUCCCCAAACUCGUUUCGAAUUACAAGGACGUCAUGCGGAACACAUUUUGUAAAAUUCGUUGAAGUGCUUAUGGUUCAAGACUUUUCGGACACCCUGUAGUGUUGGGUUAAACCAUCUUUUCAGUGAUAUCGUGACCUUUUCACCAAUCUUAUUCACACAUUUAAAUGUUAUUUCUACUUGUUAUCGUUCUUAGCCUGGUUCUCCAGAGUUUCAAUAUAAUUUUGCAAUUCUGAAACCAACUCUACAUGAAGAAUACCAGUACACGUCUGGGUACCAUCUUGUUUAAGACAACAGCUGAGGGUGAAAGAGUAGACUCUGGUAUUGUGGAAACUGAAAAUAAAUAUAUAUAUAUCACUUUGAUUUAAAAAUAUAAGGUGAUAAAUUUGGCACGUUAAUGAGAUCUACAAAAUUGGCUAUAGGCUGUCUACUAAGUGUAAGAACUAUCCUUUACAAUUGGCUAUAGGCUGUCUACUAAGUGUAAGAACUAUAUUUUAUUAUUAUAAGAAGGAUAUUCGUUCACUUCUUAUUAAGUCAAUAGGAUUUUAAACCCUAAGUAUCUGAAUUAACUAUUAAAACAAGUAAGUGUUUACGUGUAAUUUAGAUAUAAUUCUUAAGCAGGUUCCUAUUCAGUAAAUAAAACAGCUAUUAAAAAAUAUUUUUGUUCGAUUUGCUUAUGAUUCCAUGCAAGUGAAAUACGAGAAUACGUGUUCUACGCCUUUCAUUAAAAGUAAAAUUGUAAAAUUAUGUUGUUCUUCAUAAUUACCCCUUUGGACACUAUGAAGCGUCGAAGCGAAUUACUGAUUUUAACUUUUACUAUAGUUCAUAAUGUUUUCAGUAUAGUAUAUAAACUGUUUCCCAGUUUACAUUCAUUUUACACAAGUACCCGUAUUUACGUCUGUUGGCCUGUUGUAAGGAAACAAUGAGGUAACGUUCGCUUCAUGACCAGGCUUGAAGCAAUAUGUCGUGUACAGUUUUAAAGUGUUUGUUGUUCUGACGAAAUUUGCCCCUCAGUGGUACAGCGGUAUGUCAGCGGACUUACAACGCUAGAAACCGGGUUUCGAUACCCGUGGUGGGCAGAGCACAGAUAGCCCUUGUGUAGCUUUGUGCAUUAUUAAAACAAACAAACUGACGAAAUUUACAUAGUUAUUUAAACUUUGCUGUUGUAAAACUCUCUGUAAUUUAAGUUACGGCUGUUUUCCAUUUAGUGAUUGUUUUUUGUUUUCGUGUUCUAGUUUAAUUUACAAGGGAACAAACGUUCAUUAGCAAGAACAUUUUGUUUUAUUAAGAAUUUCAAGUUUUCAUUGUAGUCCUAUAGAGGAUGACAUGCCCAGAUUUAUAAUAGUAUUAUUGUAUUGUUUAUAAUGU
rnacentral:lncRNA from 1 species